GAUGAACGCUGGCGGCGUGCCUAAUACAUGCAAGUCGAGCGAACAGACGAGGAGCUUGCUCCUCUGACGUUAGCGGCGGACGGGUGAGUAACACGUGGAUAACCUACCUAUCAGACUGGGAUAACUUCGGGAAACCGGCUCUAAUACCGGAGAAUAUAUUGAACCGCGUGGUUCAAUAGUGAAAGACGGUUUUGCUGUCUCUUCUAGCUGGAUCCGCGCCGCAUUAGCUGGUUGGGAGGGUAACGGGUUUCCAAGGCAACGAGGCGUAGACGACCGGAGAGGGUGAUCGCCCACAUGGGAGCGUAGACGGGCACCAUACUCCUGCGGUAGGCAGCAGUAGGGAAUCUUCCGCAACAGUCGAGAGCUUUACGGAGCAACGCGGCGUGAGUUAUGAAGGUCUUCGGAGCGUAAAGCUCGGUUAUGAGUGAAGAACCAAUGUGUAAGGAAAUAUGCACUUCUUGACGGUACUUAGUCAGAAAGCCACGGCUAACUACGUG
rnacentral:rRNA from 1 species